GGACGUAGUAACUCCACCUUACGUCUGAUUACUGAGUCUGGUGUUGAUAGAACAACAAUGAUAUUUCACAUCACCAGGUGGCCUCUGCUGGUUGUGAUGCUGAUUCUUCUGCUUCUCUUUUGUCUGUGGACGAGGAAGAAGAAAGCUGUGAGCUCCACCACUGAACCACGUGAGUCCAGAGAGGCUGUGGAGGUGAGACAUUUGUCCUCAGAGACAGAACUCACCAAAGGGUCAUCGUCUGUUGUUAUUAAGUCAUGAAGAUAAUUCAGAAGUAACUUCAUCACUAACAUCUUUCUCCUUUUGAACCACCAAUAUUUAUUUA